rnacentral:rRNA from 1 species
AUUGAACGCUGGCGGCAUGCUUUACACAUGCAAGUCGAACGGCAGCGCGGGCUUCGGCCUGGCGGCGAGUGGCGAACGGGUGAGUAAUGCAUCGGAACGUGCCCCGUAGUGGGGGAUAGCCCGGCGAAAGCCGGAUUAAUACCGCAUAAGACCUGAGGGUGAAAGCGGGGGACCGAAAGGCCUCGCGCUAUGGGAGCGGCCGAUGUCGGAUUAGCUAGUUGGUGGGGUAAAGGCUUACCAAGGCGACGAUCCGUAGCUGGUCUGAGAGGACGACCAGCCACACUGGGACUGAGACACGGCCCAGACUCCUACGGGAGGCAGCAGUGGGGAAUUUUGGACAAUGGGGGCAACCCUGAUCCAGCCAUGCCGCGUGCGGGAAGAAGGCCUUCGGGUUGUAAACCGCUUUUGUUCGGGAAGAAAUCCUCUGGGCUAAUACCCCGGGGGGAUGACGGUACCGGAAGAAUAAGCACCGGCUAACUACGUG